rnacentral:misc_RNA from 1 species
AACGCACAUUGCGCCCCUUGGUAUUCCAUGGGGCAUGCCUGUUCGAGCGUCAUCUACACCCUCAAGCUCUGCUUGGUGUUGGGCGUCUGUCCCGCCUACGUGCGCGGACUCGCCCCAAAUUCAUUGGCAGCGGUCCUUGCCUCCUCUCGCGCAGCACAUUGCGCUUCUCGAGGUGCGCGGCCCGCGUCCACGAAGCAACAUUACCGUCUUUGACCUCGGAUCAGGUAGGGAUACCCGCUGAACUUAA